AGUGGCGAACGGGUGCUUAACACGUGGGCAACCUGCCGUGAAGUGGGGGAUAGCUCGCCGAAAGGCGAAUUAAUACCGCAUGUGAUUAGAGAGGACAUCUUUUCGAAAUUAAAGUCGGGGCAACCUGACGCUUCUUGUGGGGCCCGCGGCCUAUCAGCUAGUUGGUAAGGUAACGGCUCACCAAGGCUUUGACGGGUAGCUGGUCUGAGAGGACGACCAGCCACACUGGGACUGAGACACGGCCCAGACACCUACGGGUGGCAGCAGUCGAGAAUUUUUGACAAUGGGGGAAACCCUGAUCGAGCGACGCCGCGUGGAGGAUGAAGGUCUUCGGAUUGUAAACUCCUGUCAUUGGGGAACAAGGUGCACAUGUUAACUGCGUGUGCAUUGAUAGUACCCGAAGAGGAAGAGACGGCUAACUCUGUGCCAGCAGCCGCGGUAAUACAGAGGUCUCAAGCGUUGUUCGGAUUCAUUGGGCGUAAAGGGUGCGUAGGCGGCGCGGUAAGUCGGGUGUGAAAUCUCGGAGCUUAACUCCGAAACUGCAUUCGAUACUGCCGUGCUUGAGGACUGGAGAGGAGACUGGAAUUUACGGUGUAGCGGUGAAAUGCGUAGAUAUCGUAAGGAAGACCAGUGGCGAAGGCGGGUCUCUGGACAGUUCCUGACGCUGAGGCACGAAGGCCAGGGGAGCAAACGGGAUUAGAUACCCCGGUAGUCCUGGCAGU
rnacentral:rRNA from 1 species